rnacentral:rRNA from 1 species
CUUGUCUCAAAGAUUAAGCCAUGCAUGUCUAAGUAUAAGCAAUUAUACAGCGAAACUGCGAAUGGCUCAUUAUAUAAGUUAUCGUUUAUUUGAUAGUACCUUACUACUUGGAUAACCGUGGUAAUUCUAGAGCUAAUACAUGCUAAAAAUCCCGACUUCGGAAGGGAUGUGUUUAUUAGAUUAAAAACCAAUGCCCUCCGGGGCUCCUUGGUGAUUCAUGAUAACUAUUCGAAUCGCAUGGCCUUGCGCCGGCGAUGGUUCAUUCAAAUUUCUUCCCUAUCAACUUUCGAUGUUUGGGUAUUGGCCAAACAUGGUUGCAACGGGUAACGGAGGGUUAGGGCUCGACCCCGGAGAAGGAGCCUGAGAAACGGCUACUACAUCCAAGGAAGGCAGCAGGCGCGCAAAUUACCCAAUCCCGACUCGGGGAGGUAGUGACAAUAAAUACUGAUACAGGGCUCUUUUGGGUCUUGUAAUUGGAAUGAGUACAAUUUAAAUCUCUUAACGAGGAACAAUUGGAGGGCAAGUCUGGUGCCAGCAGCCGCGGUAAUUCCAGCUCCAAUAGCGUAUAUUAAAGUUGUUGUGGUUAAAAAGCUCGAAAGUUGAAC